UUUCUACUCCCUCCGUCUGAAAAUACUUGUCAUGAAAAUGGAUAAAAAGAGAUGUAUCUAAAACUAAAAUACGUCUAGAUACAUUUCCUUUUAUCCAUUUUGAUGACAAGUAUUUCCGGACGGAGGGAGUAUUUG
rnacentral:pre_miRNA from 1 species